UGUCGAAGUUUUCUUUGAUAAUUAACUGUAGCUGAUUCCAUAAUUCGGUAGUUAACUGUCGAGGAACAU
rnacentral:pre_miRNA from 1 species